UACGGGGGGGGCAAGCGUUGUUCGGAAUUACUGGGCGUAAAGGGCUCGUAGGCGGCCAACUAAGUCAGACGUGAAAUCCCCAGGCUCAACCUGGGAACUGCGUCUGAUACUGGAUGGCUUGAAUUCGGGAGAGGGAUGCAGAAUUCCAGGUGUAGCGGUGAAAUGCGUAGAUAUCUGGAGGAAUACCGAUAGCGAAGGCAGCUCGCUGGGACGGUACUGACGCUGAGGCGCGAAAGCGUGGGGAGCGAACAGG
rnacentral:rRNA from 1 species